rnacentral:rRNA from 1 species
GACGAACGCUGGCGGCGUGCUUAACACAUGCAAGUCGAACGGAAAGGCCCUGCUUUUGUGGGGUGCUCGAGUGGCGAACGGGUGAUUAACACGUUAGUAACCUGCCCUUGACUUUGGGAUAACUUCAGGAAACUGGGGCUAAUACCUGAUAGGAGCUCCUGCUGCAUGGUGGGGGUUGUAAAGUUUCGGCGGUUGGGGAUGGACUCGCGGCUUGUCAGCUUGUUGGUGGGGUAGUGGCUUACCAAGGCUUUGACGGGUAGCCGGCCUGAGAGGGUGACCGGCCACAUUGGGACUGAGAUACGGCCCAGACUCCUAAGGGAGGAAGCAGUGGGGAAUAUUGAACAAUGGGCGGAAGCCUGAUGCAGCAACGCCGCGUGCGGGAUGACGGCCUUAGGGUUGUAAACCGCUGUCGCCUGUGACGAAGAGUGAGUGACGGUAAUGGGUAAAGAAGCACCGGCUAACUACGUG